UGCUCAUCAUCAUAUACUACACAUGUUCCAUUGUUCUCCUUUACAUAAUGUGUCUUGGACCAAAUAUCCACAACAAAGUUUCUCAUCUAUACAGCCCAAGCACAUCCAGCAAGCUCUCCUUUAGUAACUGGAUUGCAUGUACUUUCCGGACAAAAUCUCUUUUGUAUUUUAUCUAGCAUGUAUGCUAGUAAUAUUUGAAGGAACGAAAAGAUAAGUGUGUAUACUGAUUUAUUAGAAAUACUGCUUUGCUGUUUUUUUCUUGAUUAUACACCAAGUAAUGAAGCCCCUUGUGGCUGCACAUUAUCAGAUCAUUAAUUGUAGAAUAAUAUGCUGCCUUACAGAGUUUCAAGACUUGAAGCAGUAGGACUGUUUAAAACAAAAUUAUCUUGAAUUCAUGAGACAAUUUUCCAACACAGAAUUCUACUUGCAAAGUCAUUACAUAGAGAUCUAUUUUCGAAUGAACAAACCAAUGAGUAUCUCCUACAAUAACUAUUUCAUUAGAUAAUCACAAAAAUGAAGAUAUCAACUUGUUUAUAAUUUAUGCUAGUCCAUUAAUACUAACUAAAAAAAGCUCAAAUUAAAGGACAAAAUUCUAUUAAGAAAGCAGAUUGACCACCAAUCAUCCCAAAGAAGACUACCAUCUCUUUUCUAUCGUAACAUAAUUCUGCAAGAAUACAUAUAUGUUACUCAAUGACAAACAUCAUAACA
rnacentral:lncRNA from 1 species